ensembl:lncRNA
AUGGGGUCGCAAAGAGUCAGACACGACUGAGUGACUGAAUUGAACUGACUGAUGCCAUUUAAUAGUGGUGGAAGAUCUGAAGUGUUUCUGCAAGUUUUUACCAACAGAGUGCAAAGGGUUGUUCCACUGAUGUAUAGCUCUGUGCUUCUUUACUCACUCUGACUUUUCCUGUCUUGAGGAUUAUUUGCAAUGAACAAAAUAACCGAACUGGGUUAGGAGAGCCUUCUGGUAGAACUGAGGCUGAAAGAUGAUCAUUCUUCCCACUUCAGUCUUUCCAGGGCAUGUGUGGGAGUUGCGCAAGCAAGUUACAAUCCCAUGGCUCCUGUCUUACUUGGGUGUGUGUGAGACCCAUGGAAGAGGACUAAGAGAAACAUGAAGCUGACACAGUCUGAACACUGAGGCAGAGUGCAACACUUGCAAACCAAGGGAGAAACAACUUUCUGGAGGUAUCAGCAUUGUGACCAGAAUGCAUCCAGUCUAUCAUGAACCAGCACGGGAUGUUCACAGCCCUCGUGUGUUUUUCCUUUUGCCUUUUCUUCUGCCUGGAAUAUCGUGACUCCACCUUUCCCCAUGUUUGGCGCUGUGGGGCCCCCAUCUGUCUCUCCCACCACUGCUUUAUCCCCUGCAGCCCAGGUUCUAAGCCUCGCCCAGUGACAGCAUCCUCAUCACCCAUCCUGCCACUUCAUGUGCGCAGGGCGACUGCUGUGUGCACAGCACGGAGGGCCAGAGCCUCCAUGUGUGACUUGUUGGGAGAGGCGCUGUUCCUCCCAGUGACCCUGGGGUUGGAGGGCCGACGGUGAGGUGAGCACCGUAGCAGAGACUUCUUACAAGUUUGCUCAACUCUGGUAAGGCACAUUUGUUCUACUAUUACUCGGGGGCCCUGGAUCAGCAGCUCUACCCUCUUCAGCACGUGCAUACCAAGGACGCCCCAGACAGCAACACACACCAGAGGAUGGGAAAGGAGAAGCGUGCAAAGGUACAUCUGCUUCUGACACAGAACGCUUCUGCUCACGUUCCACUGAUGAACAUGGCCAUACCCAAAAGGGUAUAGGGCUGAGAGCGUAGUCCCUGGCCUGGCCCCCACUCUUGGCCAAAACUCUCUACCCUGCAAAGGGAAGCUUGAACUCACUGGGAGACAGUUAGAUAGUUUUUCCAUGAAAAGAAUCAGGAAUUGUGUUGGAAGGGAGGCAUCAAUGAAGUCAAAUUUAUGCAGCCAUUUUAGAAUCUGGCUCUGCUACCUACCAGCUGAGUGAUUUAGUCUCUUUUGACAAACAGUUUCCUCACCCAGAAGAUCAAGAUCAUAAUAGCAGCUCACAGGAUUGCAGUGAGAACGAAAUCAACACUAAGUGUGAAGGUUUUUGUAAAUAAGGAAAGGUCCCCUGAGCAGAGCUGAUUUUGUAAAAUCAGAUUUACUGUAUGUUUUUGAAAGCUUACUAUUCAAGUCAUGGGCUAAUUCAAGACUGAAGAAAACUAGGUGUUUCUUAAGCUUAUAUUUCUUAAUUAUUACACGAGAAAAGGAUAGUGUAUUUUUAAAAGUGUAAUUUGGAAAUUUGGGGUUGGAGGAAUGGAAAGAAAACCUGGAUUCUAAUUGUAACUCAGACCCGGGCCAACUGACUGACCGCCAUCUGGUCACUUCAUCUGUCUCGGUUCUCAUUGUCUCAGAGGCAAAAAGAGAGUGGUUAGCUAAGUGGUCCUUUCCUGAUCGUGAAAGAGAUGCUGUGAGGCUGAGACUCGUCUAAACGACUCAUCUGCGGUACCGGAUUAUGAUCAUGUGGAGCUCACUGGAGAACGAACACCCAACCUUUACAAAUUCUCUCUCUUGUCUUGCUUUUGCAGUUUUCUUGUUGAGCAUAUAAUAUGGGGGAAGUAGUGUGUACAAUAUGGAUAUGACUGGGUACAUGUGUUUUCAAGGAUAAGUACGCAUGAAAUUUUGACAAACAAGUAUCACUUCAUUAAGUUAGAUAUAAUCAUUUGGAAAGAAAGACUUAGACCAGACAUCUUAGGCAACUGAACUUAUUUCUCUGUUAAGAAGUGANNNNNNNNNNNNNNNNNNNNCUUCUCUAGAUACUGAUAUAAAGCUUUGGUUUCAGAGGUUAAGUAAGUUCUCUGAUCCUAGCAGACACUGAAUAGUUGAUAAGAAGAGUGAACUAGGUCAGCAAUUACUAGUAAUACUUCUUUUCAGUUCCUGCUUUUCUACACUAUUAACUAUGACCAUCUAAUUACUUAAAAGGUUUUAUUCAUUACAUGCAGAGUCAUUCUUAAUUAAAUUAGCAGUAUACCUUGACUUAGUCUCAUAGUCUCUCUGACCCUCAGUUUCUUGAUCUGUAAGAUGNNNNNNNNNNNNNNNNNNNNNNNNNNNNNNNNNNNNNNNNNNNNNNNNNNNNNNNNNNNNNNNNNNNNNNNNNNNNNNNNNNNNNNNNNNNNNNNNNNNUUUCUUGAUCUGUAAGAUGGGGAUAAUUUUUUUCCUUUGGGGUUAUCAUACAAUUGAAUGAAUCAGAGACAGUGUAUGUUAAAUGCCUAGUGCAGGGUUUGGC